rnacentral:rRNA from 1 species
UACGGAGGGGGCAAGCGUUGUUCGGAUUUACUGGGCGUAAAGGGUGUGUAGGCGGCUGGACAAGUCUGAUGUGAAAUCUUCACCGCUCAACGGGAAGGGGUCAUUGGAAACUGUUCAGCUUGAGUAUGGUAGAGGCAAGCGGAAUUCCUGGUGUAGCGGUGGAAUGUGUAGAUAUCAGGAAGAACACCUAUGGCGAAGGCAGCUCUCUGGGACGGUACUGACGCUGAGACGCGAAAGCGUGGGGAGCGAACAGG